UACGAAGGGUGCAAGCGUUACUCGGAAUUACUGGGCGUAAAGCGUGCGUAGGUGGUUCGUUAAGUCUGUCGUGAAAGCCCCGGGCUCAACCUGGGAAUGGCGAUGGAUACUGGCGGGCUAGAGUGCGGUAGAGGAGAGUGGAAUUCCCGGUGUAGCAGUGAAAUGCGUAGAGAUCGGGAGGAACAUCAGUUGCGAAGGCGGCUCUCUGGACCAGCACUGACACUGAGGCACGAAAGCGUGGGGAGCAAACAGGAUUAGAAACCCCCGUAGUCC
rnacentral:rRNA from 1 species